AUUGAACGCUGGCGGCAUGCUUUACACAUGCAAGUCGAGCGGAGAGAGGUAGCUUGCUACUGAUCUUAGCGGCGGACGGGUGAGUAAUGCUUAGGAAUCUGCCUAUUAGUGGGGGACAACAUUUCGAAAGGAAUGCUAAUACCGCAUACGUCCUACGGGAGAAAGCAGGGGAUCUUCGGGCCUUGCGCUAAUAGAUGAGCCUAAGUCGGAUUAGCUAGUUGGUGGGGUAAAGGCCUACCAAGGCGACGAUCUGUAGCGGGUCUGAGAGGAUGAUCCGCCACACUGGGGCUGAGACACGUCCCAGACUCCUACGGGAGGCAGCAGUGGGGAAUAGUGGACAAUGGGCGCAAGCCUGAUCCAGCCAUGCCGCGUGUGUGAAGAAGGCCUUAUGGUUGUAAAGCACUUUAAGCGAGGAGGAGGCUACUUUAGAUAAUACCUAGAGAUAGUGGACGUUACUCGCAGAAUAAGCACCGGCUAACUCUGUGCCAGCCGCCGCGGUAAAAC
rnacentral:rRNA from 1 species